rfam:Balearica pavonina gibbericeps contig57520, whole genome shotgun sequence.
UUGACAGCCUUGGAGACUGAAGCCCUCUAUUUAUCUACAGAACAGGUACAGCCUGGGCAGCAGCAGUGCUAGCGUCCACUUUCCCCACCACCGUGCCUCAGCCCUGACCUGGAAGAACCACCUCUAGAGGUGAGAGGGGAACUCAGCCUCCACAUCCAGUGAGAGCUUGGCCUCU